GUGGCUCCUGCUACUGCUCACCCCACAAGCCCUGACUGCUAAUAUCUGCCCAGGGCCCUGUUUCCUUCCCUAGUAUUCCUGUGGGCUGGUUAGCUUGUUACUCAAGAGCCACCGUGUGGAGUCCAUGCUCCUAUAGUAGCCUAAAAUGAGGAAACUGCCCUUCAUUAACCCAACUCUAGCUUGUUCCAAAACAUGGAGCACAGAACAUUGCUGCCUGUAACCCCUGGAAUGGCACAAGAUUAUCUAUUUAUUUAUCCUUUAAUCACAGCUGGAGGCCUCAGAUAUGAAUAUUCAGGAUUGGUGAAAGAACUCAACAAUUUGACUGAGUGUCAUAAUUGUGGCACAGGGAGGAAGGAAGGACAGCAUACCAAGCCCUUAAUCACACGCUACCCAGAUACCAGCAUAAGGCCCGACAUUCUAGAACAGGGGCCAGCUCAUGGCCUACUUUUCUUUGGCCGGUAAGCUAAGAAUGGUUUUUACAUCUUUAAAUUGUUGUGAAAACAAAACAAAAAACAAAGAAAAUGCCAGAGACCUAUGUGACAUGCAAGCCUAGAAUACUUACUGUCAGGCCUCUGAGCCCAAGCUAAGCCAUCAUAUCCCCUGUGACCUGCAGGUAAACAUCCAGAUGGCCGGUUUCUGCCUUAACUGAUGACAUUCCGCCACAAAAGAAGUGAAAAUGGCCUAUUCCUGCCUUAACUGAUGACAUUAUCUUGUGAAAUUCCUUCUCCUGGCUCAUCCUGGCUCAAAAGCUCCCCUACUGAGCACCUUGUGACCCCCCAUUCCUGCCCCCCCAGAGAACAACCCCCCUUUUUCCUUUACCUACCCAAAUCCUAUAAAACAGCCCCACCCCUAUCUCCCUUCGCUGACUCUCUUUUCGGACUCAGCCCGCCUGCACCCAGGUGAUUAAAAGCUUUAUUGCUCACACAAAGCCUGUUGGGUGGUCUCUUCACACGGACGCACAUAAAACUUAC
rnacentral:lncRNA from 1 species